UACGGAGGGGGCGAGCGUUGUCCGAAGUUACUGGGCGUAAAGCGCGCGUAGGCGGGUCAACAAGUCCGCUGUGAAAGCCCGAGGCUUAACCUCGGCGGGUCGGUGGAUACUGUUGGUCUUGAAGGUGCUAGGGGGAGAUGGAAUGACCGGUGUAGCGGUGAAAUGCGCAGAUAUCAGGAGGAACACCGGUGGCGAAGGCGGGUCUCUGGGCCGAUACUGACGCUGAGGAGCGAAAGCGUGGGGAGCGAACAGG
rnacentral:rRNA from 1 species